rnacentral:lncRNA from 1 species
UUUUGUAUAAAAAAUGUCUGAAACGAAUAUAGUGUGGGGAUGAGAAAAGAAUUCAUUAAUUAUAUUUUUGUGUUUGACAAGAACUUCGGACUUGUGCCUACGUACCAACAUAAAAAUGAGGGAUCAAAACCUCGUAGUUUGUGGUAAUAAUUUCAAAGUAAGUAGAUUGCUUUUUAACAAAAUUUUAAGUUUAACAAAGGCACAAAAGGC